rnacentral:rRNA from 1 species
GAUGAACGCUGGCGGCGUGCCUAACACAUGCAAGUCGAACGGAAAGGCCCCAGCUUGCUGGGGUACUCGAGUGGCGAACGGGUGAGUAACACGUGGGUGAUCUGCCCUGCACUUUGGGAUAAGCUUUGGAAACUGGGUCUAAUACCGAAUAUGACCACUUCUUGGAUGUUGUGGUGGAAAGCUUUUGCGGUGUGGGAUGAGCCUGCGGCCUAUCAGCUUGUUGGUGGGGUAAUGGCCUACCAAGGCGGCGACGGGUAUCCGGCCUGAGAGGGUGUACGGACACAUUGGGACUGAGAUACGGCCCAGACUCCUACGGGAGGCAGCAGUGGGGAAUAUUGCACAAUGGGCGCAAGCCUGAUGCAGCGACGCCGCGUGGGGGAUGACACAUUUCGGUGCGUAAACUCCUUUUAUAUGAGAAGAUAAUGACGGUAUUAUAUGAAUAAGCACCGGCUAACUCCGUGCCAGCCGCCGCAGUAA